UCCGUGGCUUGCGAAAGAAAUUAUCCUGAUAAUUUUGAUAACUAGUUCUUGCACUCGCUGUGAAAAAGAGUUCAACAUUAUUCCUCAACUACUGAGAAGGCAAUCAAAUGUGAAUCCCGAUAUUCCGCUCUCCGAUGCAUUGCUAUGGUUUGCUGCAGAAGCAAGUGCUAGAACGGUUAAAUUUACCGCAUGUGGAAUUUUUCCAAUCAAUUACGAGUUCUUCUUCAUUUAUAUCGGAUUCUUUGCAACAAAUAUGGCGAUUUUAAUACAAGCGUUGGUGCGAUUCUUGAUUGACGGAAAAGUGCUGGAUGAUUAGUAGCCAGGGAUAUUCAAUGAAAUUAAG